AAAACCACUUAAAUUUUGAGCUCGAAAAUAUAACGUUCACCUCAGCUACAUAACAGCUUAGCUUCAUUGGUUAUUAUAAUAGUUAACGAUUUCCAGUCUUGAACACAGAAGUUUUGGUUGUAGGUAGUUUUUUUUUCAUAGGUCUCGUUGUUCCACGAAAUAUAUUAUUGCGGUUGAAGCCCACAUGAUCGUUUUGCUUGUGCAUGGCUGAUUUAUGAGAUGAUCAAACGUCCAUUCCUACCGGUGGGAUCCGAAUCACGACCAAGCUGUGCUAGCAGACUGAACGUUAUAACGCCCCAGACCACUAGACCAACCUGUCAGUGAUAUUGUCAUUGGAAUAUUUGAGUCUCAACUGUGAAUUCAGUUUCGUUGACAAACCCCAUCAGUGCAUCUCCAAAUAUCUAUUGUUCCUCAAUGAUGAUGGGAAGUUGUAUUUGUGAUUGUAUAUCAGACAUUAGACCAGCAUAAUAUUGCUGUGAAGAUUGAGGUGUUUGUCAGUGGAGCAGCCUACCAAAACCCUCUUCAUGAAAUGCUGCCGCCAAAUGAGUUGAAGUGUGCUAUAUUGUUGUUUUGGGCAGUUUAUUAAACAACUUAGGUAACAGUAUUCUAAGAAUGUAAAUAAAUGUAAAUGAAUGUAAAGAAUGUAAAUAAUACUGUCUUAUUCUAAGACAGUAAAUAUUUUCAAACAGUGUUAUUAGUGUUUAAAUGAACUGGGUUAUUCAGUGUUUUUGGGUUGACAUAUUGACGGUUUCAACUGAAUAGACGUGUUAGAGGAUGUGCACGUAUACCGACCGUCGGUCCCGGUUGAAAUAAAACAGCCCAUUGUCUGCUCAAAUAUCACUGCAUAUAUUCAGGCUAAGGUUGGACCUUUUUGUAAAGAGCUCCCCACAACCAAAACUCCAUUCAAAUUCAAUUUUCAACUAGUGACAUGUUAGUGAAGUGUGCGCUUUCAAUCUGUCCUGUACUAUAAUUGAUUAGUCUUCAUCCUCAAAUUGAGUGCUUAAAGUGUUUCCUCUCAGUGAAUCUUAUAGUUUAUAGAGUGAAGUUAUAGCUUUCAAGUGUUGCCAGACCUAUUUUGGAUUCAAAAGCGUGGAACAAUAGAAUCUUUUGAAUUAGAAUCCCAGUUUGUGAAUAGUGAUUAAAUGUCAGUGGCGGUGAUUGGGGGCAUGUCACAAUAAAAAUAAGUGGGAUGGUGAGGGUUCAUCAUACAAUUUAACAUACAUUAAUUAUUGAUAUUAACAGUGGUUCACAAGAUAAUGAAGAGAAAAAUGGUGCUAACUUAGGAAGAUGUAGAUGUUCACAUUUACCCACUACAUUAAUUGUUAGUAGGCCUAAUAAACUACUAAUUUUGGGUAUGUUCUAAAUUUCAUAGGAGGGUUUAUAAUACAAUUUAACAUACAUUAACUAUUGAUAUUAACUGUGGCAAACAAGGUGAUAGAGGAAAAGUGUGCCAACUUAGGAAGAUUUAGAACUUCACAUUUACCCACUACAGCUGUUAAUACUAAAUCGUUCAUUUUGAGGCUCUUAUAAUUCCUAUAGAAGAUUGUUUGUCAUGCAAUUUAACAUACAUCAAAUACUGAUAUUAACUGUGGCUAACAAGGUAAUAGAGAAAAAAGGUGCUAACUCAGGAAGAUGUAGAUGUUCACAUUAAUUUCAUUAAUCAACUGUUAAUUUACUAAUUUCAGGUCUCUUUUAAUUUUCAUUGAACAAGAAUUUUCAAGUAUCAUAUAUUUUCCGACUUCAACUAAUCUACUUCUUGGAUAAGUCACGAUUAGAAAAAGCAUGAAUACUUCAUAACAAAAUUAUAAGAAUCCAAAUACUAUUUCUAUGUAGCGCCAUUUAUUACCCUAUUGUUAAUUCUUUGAAAUAUCACAUUUUUCCAGACAACAGCAUGUUCUAUCUCUUUUAUAAUUUUUUUGAUGUUACAUCAUUCAAAGAUUUGAACCAUUUCCUUAAUGACAUUUUUCCAAUUUACAGCAUGUAAUUCUUGCAUGAAACUCUUUCCUCUUAGUUCUGACAGAUAACUCUCUUCAAGUAGAACUAUAGGCUUAUUUCCAGUAAAAAGGGUUGACAUCCCAAUUUUAUAGACCUAUAGUCUACAGACCUCCAGCCAACUUGUAAUAAUAUUAAUAGCUGGAUAAAGGUCUUUAGCCUUUAAAUGUUCUUUAUAAAACUUCUAUUUUCGUUUUUUUAACUUCAGUAAUUUUUCAUAUAUAUUAAAAUUCUUCAUUUUUAUCAAAAUUUGUAUAAAAUAUUAAGAACUAAAAGUUUUAUUGUUCCAUUCAAUUCUCAUUUAAAUUAUUAUUCGAGUUUUAUUUCUUCCAUAUAUAUUUCAUUGUCCCAACAUUGUAAAGGCUUGGGACCCCCAAGUCUAGUUGGUACACUUUAACUUCCAUAUAUCAUCAUAUUUCUCUUUUCAAAUUAAUUAUUAUUAUUUGUUUUUAAAUUAUUUUGAUUACCACAUAUAAUGUUAUUUAUAAUUGAGUUCACAAAACUCAAAACCCAAAUUUAAUAUCUAUUAUUGUAAUUCCAAAUUCCAUGUUUUCAACUCUUUCAACAUAUUAAUGAAAAGGUUCAGGACUGUCAAGCCUAAUAAACUUAUUUUUCAGUUCGAUUUAUAGUUCAAUUCAUUUUUCAAUUUUUGAAAAUUUUCUAUAGGCCAACUCCCAAGUUCAAUAACUUUUACCAAAAGAUUUAUUUUCACAGAAACCUCAGUUGAAAAUUCAUCUGAGUUUUUGCCUGUUAUCAAUUUUCUUCCAAUCCAACUAUUUUAAACUUUCUUCCUUUCAGUUUGGAAGUAAAUUUUUUUUCAACUAAGACUUUUGCCUAUUGUAAGUAAUUUCAUUUAGUUAGGGUUGCCUAUAAUGGGAGUUGAAGAGGCCAAAUAUUGUAAACUUAGUUUAGGUUCUAGUUUGUAAGAGAAUUUAUUGUAAUUUUUCAUCUGCUAUAAGCUGAGCUCUGGCUGUUCUAUUGAGAAUACUUAAAUAAGCAGUAUCUACAUCAAUUAAUGAUUUUGUUUAUUUUAUAGCCUAAUUCAUUUUAAAAAUAUGGAUACAAUAUUUGUUUUAAAUCGACAAUCCAAAGCUUUACUAUUUCUCUAAUAAUACUUAUACGGUAUCUAAUUAGUUGAUAGUUCAAUGAAAAAAAAUAUUAAUACCAAAUUCUUAAUCUUUCUAAGCCAUAGUGCAGCUUAUGCUGGGUGAACUUCAUCACAAUAUUAUUGUUUCUUCUCUAAUUUGUCUACUGUUGAAUAAUAAUUUUAUUCAAUUGAAAUAAUUAUACCUAUAUUCUAAAUAUUACAUUGAUAAUAUAUUUUAGCAGAAGUCACAGUUGAAAAUUCAUAUAAAUUAUUGUCGGUUAUUUCAAAAAUUGUAUUUAAAUAUAUAUUUCAGCAGAAGUCACAGUUAAAAUUCAUAUAAAUUCUUGUCUGUUAUUAAAUUUCUCCAGCCCAACUAUUGUGAAUCUAGCUCUAGUUAGUUUGUAAGUGAAUAAAUAAAAAAAAUAAAAUUUUCUAUUGUAAGUACUGUAUUUGCUCGCGUACGAUGCGCACCCCAAAAACUAAAGUACAUUUUUAUGAAAAAAUACAAUAAAGAUAUUAUCAAAGGUUUUAUUUGAAACAGCGUAUGUAAUGAUUAUUGAUCUACAAAUUAUCAAUUUAAUUAAGUUGAAAUAAAAAAGAUACUGUCAGAUACACAUAAUUUAUUCGAGCCAUACUUAAGUUUCAAUGCACUAAGGCAUCAUCUUCAUUGGUCUUUUUUCAUUUUAAGAUGAUGCCUUAGUGCUUUGAAUCUAAAGUUUGGCUCAAAUAAAUUAUGUGGAACUGACAAUAUUGUUUUUAUUCCACUUUAAUAUGAAGAAAUUCCACAAUAUCUCUGUUUAUAGUGUAAAUGUUAUUCAAUUAAUGUUUGAAAAACGUAAAAUACUAUAUUUAGAACUUAGUAUACAUUUAACAAACACAUUAGGAAAAGCUGACUUGUUGAUUAUCGUUGACUGAUCAUCGUGAACAUUUUUGUCAAACUGUACAUACCGGCAUUCUGUCUCAAUUUGGAAAAUUACGCGUAUGACGCGAACCAACGAAUUUCGCUUUGUAUUUUUUGAAAAGUUGAAAGUAAUUUUUUUAAAUAGGUGCGUUUCAUACACUAGCAAAUACAGUAAUUUGAGGUGGUUAGGGUUGGCUAUAGGGGUGUUGGGAGGCCAAUCGUUGUAAACGUAAAGUUUAGUUUUUAGUUUGUAAUUUUGCGAAUUUAUUGUAAAUUUGUCACCCACUAAAAGCUGAGCCCUGGCUGGUCUAUUGAGCAUAAAUAAAUCAGUAUUCAUACUAAUUAUUAUUAUAUAUUCACAGUAAUAACAAUUCCUCUAAUAUUAAUUAUUUUGUGAACUAGUUUGUAAAUAUAAUACUCUUUUCUUCAAAUUGGCAAGCCUUAGCUUUACUGAUUCUAUAUUUCUAACCAAAAUUAACUCGUCUGUUUAUAUUAUAAACACCUACUAUGAUACUAAAUUCACUGAUUCUACAAACUUAUAAUUAUACUAAAAUCAAUUAUCCCUUUAAAAUCAAUUAUUCCUCUAAUAUCAAUUACUCCAUAAUUAUUAUUCAUUUGAAAUAUCAAUAUCAAUAUUAAAAUGUUGAUAAAAUAGGUAUCAAUACUAAUUCAUUCAAAAUGUCAAUACAAAGCCUCACCGAUUAAACAAUCAUAAUAAUAUAAAUUCCUUCAACAUUAAUCACUUCAAAAUCGAUUUAUUUAAUAAUACUAAUUUCUAGAAAUUGACUUGUCUAAUUGACUUGUCUAGAAAUUGAAAUCUUUACUAAUUCUAUAAUCAUACACACUUUAGUUGCUCUAAUAUUAUUCACUUCAUAUUUCUUUAAAAAAAUAGUACCACCUAUUUCUUCAAUCUGUUAAGCCAUAGCUCACAGCUCAUAUUGUAAAAAUUACUUGUUUUCAAAUUGACAAGCUACAGCCUUAUUGAUUCUAUUAUAGUAGUAACAUCCAUCCUCUAAUAAUAGGUAGUUACUUCAUAAUUCAUUUGAAAAAUAUCAAAACCAAUUUCUUCAAAUUGACAAGCCCAAUCAUACUAACAUCCAUUCCUCUAAUUUUUAUUGUUUCUUAAUCCAUUAAAAAAUAUUAAUACUGAUUUAUAUAAUAUGAGGGUGGAUGUGGAGGCCAAAUAUUAUUGUAAUUCCUAGUUCAUUAUGAUUUCAUUUCUUCAAGCAAUACAUUUUUCAAUUGUUAUUCAAGUACAGAAAUAGUUGUUUUGUAAAAAUAAUUGUACAGAUACUGUUUUAUAUGUCGUCACUGUUGAAGAAUGGUUGGCUAUGAGUAGAGAUGUGGAAUAAUGUCAGCAACCAGGGGGACAAAGAAAACGAGGCCGACCACGCAACAGAUGAUUGGACGACGUGGAGGCAGACCUUCAAUCCUUGGGCGUCAGAAGGUGGAGACAGCGAGCACAGGACACAGAUUCGUGUAAAAGACUUGUGGAGGAGGCCAAGGCUCUUCAAGGCCCGUAGAGUCAAUGAGUAGUAGUUAUAAGAUUUUUGUAUGAUUUAUUGUUCUUCCAAUUUAAUUUAUAGACUAUUCUAUCUGUCCAAUGUUUAUUUGUUCAUCUGUUGUUUAUUUGUUCAUCUAUUUGUUAUCUGUUUAUUGAAAUCUGUUUGUCAAAUGUUGAUUCAUGUUAUAAGGAAGUACAUAUAUUCAAUGUGCAUUGCGAGUACAAAUCAUAUACCAUAUCAUCUUAAAUUACAUCAUGCUGAUCAUUAUCAUUCACUAAUAAUUUUUCUUCUCAUUCAAUAAUUAUUUCUUUUUCUCAAUCAUUUCUUUAUACUAGAUUGUUGCAUUGAUGUGUUUUUCAGUUAAACUUAUGAAGCUUUUUUUGUUUCAGAUUAUAAAAUUUCAGCUUCAUUCACAUAGACGAACAUUGGAAUACCUUCUAUAGAGUGAAGCCUUCAACAGUUCUUAUAGUGAAGCCUAUGUUGUUACGUCCGGAGUUUUAUUAGUGAAGUUCAGAACCGAAGUUAAUUAGUGCAAUAUUACAACAGUGAUAAUUCAGUGGUUAGUGAAAUAAAUGUAUAACUGUUUGAACUUCAAGACGAAGGUUUGGCUACCCUACUUCAUGGCUCGAAGGUUAAGUUUGUGGAACAAUAAAAUUGACUCACUCCAUCGUCCUUCUUGAGAAUAUAACAAAUGACAUUAGAAGUGCAUAUAGUCCAGGCAAUGAAUGCUCAAAAAAGGGUAUAGAGGGAAAAAUUGGAAAGACAAUUUUCGACCCCGCAGUUCUGUUCAGGGUAGUAAGAAGAUCGAAACUAGCCCGCCGCUCGCCUGCUGCCGCCUCCGCCUCAGCCGCCCCCACGGCCCCUCUGGUGGCGCCCCAGCUGCAGUUGCCACCGCAGGCGAACGCCUCCAUCACAGUGGCUGCCAAGUGAUUGAUGAGCCGCUUGCAAGCAAGGCGGCGCACUGCUGAGCUGCUCAACCGGACUCGGCGGACAGUCGUCACUCGCCUCAACGCCACAUCACAUCAACGCUAAAUGUACAUUUUUACGGCUAGCAUAGUCUACAGUAAGUCACUGUAAGUAUUAAACCUUUAUUGGUUUACGGUUAGGAUUGGAUAUGAUAGCUUACAGUUAUAUCUGUAAAUCACUGUAAGUAUUAAACCUUUAUUGGUUUACGGUUAGGAUUGGAUAGGAUAGUUUACAGUUAUAUCUGUAAGUCACUGUAAGUAUUACACCUAUGUUGGUUUACGGAUAGGGUUGGCUACUUAUAGCUGUAAGUCACUUUUACAACUGUAAACAUUCUUUUGUCAUACCCACCUUCAACGGGAUAAGAUAGUUAAAUACCCAGGAUAAGAUGGCUAAUUCGUACCGAAUAAUUUUUUGUUUAAAGUGGAUUGAUUGUGAAUUUAAUACUAGAUAGCUGUAAAUUUAGCUACUGGUUCAGGAAUUUACAAAACCUCAAACACCUUUCACAGGCAUUAACAGGAUUAACAGGGAUUCACAAACACCUUAAAUUCACAGUGGAUUGAUUGUGAAUUUAAUACUGGAUAGCUGUAAAUUUAGCUACUGGUUCAGGAAUUUACAAAACCUCAAACACGUUUCACAGGAGGUCACUCUACGAAAAUAUUAAAUAUCAACAUAGACAUACGGAAUGGAACAGCCACCUUAUAUGAUUAUGUGUUGAACUAUGUUGGACUAUAAUGAUGUUGAGGUUGGACUGGGAAAGCAACGUCACCAGUGAAGAACCAAUGACACCAACCACCUCGGACUAGUGUUGUUUUCACUAUUUCUCAUCACUGUAUGAAAACUUUCAUCACUUGAUCUUAUUUUCUACGAUCUUUCUCUUUGGAUAUAUAUUUUGAUCUACCUUCUAUCUCUUUGGAUAGAAAUAUUUUGAUCUACCUUCUAUCCCUUUGGAUAGAAAUAUUUUGAUAGUCACUAUCUUCAUUGUGGGAAUCAUCGGCAAUUUAAAAUAUAACUUCGAUAUUAGAAUCAAAACUGGCAUCAUCGAUUGGGGCUGGGUCUGGCAUCGGGGUGGCCACUUGGGGUGGUCUGUCCUCUGUCCUUUCAGCGUUCAACAUUCUCCAAGCGGACAACACUCUCCAAUUGAACAACUUUGAUCAUAUCGAACACUUGUUCUGGUAUUUUCUGUUGUAAGCGGUGCUAAGAACAAUACGAUAUGAUCAAAGGUGUUCAAUUGGAGUGUAUUGUCUGCUUGGAAAAUGUUGAGCUCAACGAUAACACCAUCUGCACUCCAUGUUGUAAAAAGAAUGCAUUCUUUCACGAAAGAUGUCUACAAGGACUGGCUUCCAGCUUUGGUAAUGCUUGUUAUGUAACAAUAAAGAAAAGUUUUCAAAGGUUCUAGUGGAUAAUGGAAUUUUUAUUCCUGAACAAGAUGCGUUGUGGGAAACAGAACCCCGUGCCUUCAGAGAACUGCUGGAACGUUAUUGUCGUUGCGAUGCGGUGAAAUGUGUUUGCCGGAAGGGACGUGAUUUCACCGACAACAAUAUAAACUCGAUGUGGCAAAUCAUCCUGUGCUCCCUGUGCGGCUCGCAGGGUAUCCACAGGAAAUGUCUCAUGUCUAGGACGCAAACCAGAUGGGAGUGUGAUGUAUGCCAGAGAGCUGAAAGGACAGAGGACAGACCACCCCAAGUGGCCACCCCGAUGUCAGACCCAAUUGAUGAUACCAGUUCUGAUUCUAAUAUCAAAGUUGUCGACUGUGAUAGUUAUGAACCCGCCUCAGUCCCACCAUGCCGUGAACAUGUUCCUGAAAAUACCUCAACAUUCAUAAUUCCUGGAGCAAUUUGAAUGAUGACAGACCUGAUUAUGUGUUGAACGAUGUUGGAGCUUUAGAUGUUGAUGUUAAGGUUGGACUGGGAAAUCAACGUCACCAGUGAAGAUCCAAUGAGACCAACCACUCUCGGACUAGUGGUGUUUUCGCUGUUUCUCAUCGCUGCUGUCACUGAAAUCGGAGUAAAAUUAUCGGAGAUCCCAAUUGCAUCAUCAUCUGUGUCAAUGUUAAUUACCUUGCCACUUUCAUCAUCCGAAUCAUCAAUUAUUAUAGGACACAAUUCAAAAGGUUUCAUCUC